AUGAACGCUAGCGACAGGCUUAACACAUGCAAGUCGAGGGGCAGCACAGGUAGCAAUACCGGGUGGCGACCGGCGCACGGGUGAGUAACGCGUAUGCAACUUGCCUAUCAGAGGGGGAUAACCCGGCGAAAGUCGGACUAAUACCGCAUGAAGCAGGGGCCCCGCAUGGGGAUAUUUGCUAAAGAUUCAUCGCUGAUAGAUAGGCAUGCGUUCCAUUAGGCAGUUGGCGGGGUAACGGCCCACCAAACCGACGAUGGAUAGGGGUUCUGAGAGGAAGGUCCCCCACAUUGGUACUGAGACACGGACCAAACUCCUACGGGAGGCAGCAGUGAGGAAUAUUGGUCAAUGGGCGUAAGCCUGAACCAGCCAAGUCGCGUGAGGGAUGAAGGUUCUAUGGAUCGUAAACCUCUUUUAUAAGGGAAUAAAGUGCGGGACGUGUCCCGUUUUGUAUGUACCUUAUGAAUAAGGAUCGGCUAACUCCGUGCCAGCAGCCGCGGUAAUACGGAGGAUCCGAGCGUUAUCCGGAUUUAUUGGGUUUAAAGGGUGCGUAGGCGGCCUUUUAAGUCAGCGGUGAAAGUCUGUGGCUCAACCAUAGAAUUGCCGUUGAAACUGGGGGGCUUGAGUAUGUUUGAGGCAGGCGGAAUGCGUGGUGUAGCGGUGAAAUGCAUAGAUAUCACGCAGAACCCCGAUUGCGAAGGCAGCCUGCCAAGCCAUUACUGACGCUGAUGCACGAAAGCGUGGGGAUCAAACAGGAUUAGAUACCCUGGUAGUCCACGCAGUAAACGAUGAUCACUAGCUGUUUGCGAUACACUGUAAGCGGCACAGCGAAAGCGUUAAGUGAUCCACCUGGGGAGUACGCCGGCAACGGUGAAACUCAAAGGAAUUGACGGGGGCCCGCACAAGCGGAGGAACAUGUGGUUUAAUUCGAUGAUACGCGAGGAACCUUACCCGGGUUUGAACGCAUUCGGACCGAGGUGGAAACACCUUUUCUAGCAGUAGCCGUUUGCGAGGUGCUGCAUGGUUGUCGUCAGCUCGUGCCGUGAGGUGUCGGCUUAAGUGCCAUAACGAGCGCAACCCUUGCCACUAGUUACUAACAGGUAAAGCUGAGGACUCUGGUGGGACUGCCAGCGUAAGCUGCGAGGAAGGCGGGGAUGACGUCAAAUCAGCACGGCCCUUACAUCCGGGGCGACACACGUGUUACAAUGGCGUGGACAAAGGGAGGCCACCUGGCGACAGGGAGCGAAUCCCCAAACCACGUCUCAGUUCGGAUCGGAGUCUGCAACCCGACUCCGUGAAGCUGGAUUCGCUAGUAAUCGCGCAUCAGCCAUGGCGCGGUGAAUACGUUCCCGGGCCUUGUACACACCGCCCGUCAAGCCAUGGGAGCCGGGGGUACCUGAAGUCCGUAACCGAAAGGAUCGGCCUAGGGUAAAACUAGUGACUGGGGCU
rnacentral:rRNA from 1 species